ensembl:lncRNA
ACUACCAGCUGUUUGUAGAAAGCUGCACCUAUUUUCUCCUCUUGAUCAAGUGGCCUAUAGUACACACCCACAACAGUGUCACCUAUGUUAGCCUGCCUCUUAACUCUUACCUACAAGCUCUCCACUUAUUCAUCAUUCCCCUCUAAGUGAAACUCAAUACAUCUUUGUUGCUCUCUCCCACAAAGAGCAACUCCACCACCUCACCUCACCAGCCAAUUUAGCAAUUGCUCUUCUAAUCUUUUUUCACUGGUGUUUAUUUUAUUCUACUCAUUAUCCCUCCUCUUGUCAAACAUACGUAACUAGAAGAGAUCUAAUUAGCUGAAGAUCUUGCUUUGUAAAAACUUUGCUAAUGACUCAUUCUUGCCUAGAAACACUGGGGUGUCAGAUUCUCAUGUGUCAACAGUUUUCUAUGAAGCCUCAUCAUUUUAAACGUGAACUUUGAUCCAUAUCAGAGAAUUAAAGACUAACUCAUAGAGCUUAAUCUAUUAAAAAGAGGCAAUUCAGACCAAGCUGAUGAAAUCUACUCAUUUGUCUGUUACAUGAGAACAAGAUGAGAUUCCACUAACAGGAACAAGAGACUGUUUCUGGGCAACAACUCUUCCUCAGAUAGUUUCUCUGAAGUCAUAUGAAAGAGAAUCAACUGAAAGUAUCAAAGAACACAUAAUAUUAAUACUGCCUCUGAAAACACACUGCUCCUCAGAAACAAUAAUAAUUAAAAAAAUACUUGCCACAACAAUUAAAAAUGCUAUGGUAUUCACACUCUAUCUGUUCAAUGUGCUCCGCUUGUUAGAAGAAGGCAGGACUGACCAAGUAUUCAUGAGCACAGAAAGCUGCUAGAACACAGAUAAAAAGUCUUCACAGGAGAAAAGAGCCCAGUUAGAACCAGAACAUUUGAAUUCUCUAUCAGACUGUGUUUCACAUUGUGAAGAAUUAUUAUUCUGCACAUAUAGCACCAGAACACCAUAUGGAAAGCUGCUGCUGCAGAUGGAAGAGAUCAUAUAAGGGCUCUUGUAAGAUUUCAGUAAUUCAGGAGUUACAUUAUAAGCCAUUGUUUCCAACUCCUACACAUGGUUUUACCUCUAAGAUUAUACAAAACCUAAGGAAGAAUCUGACCAAUGUGACUUUUCUUCUCAUCUAUGAUUGAAAUACGGCAAGCAAGAAAUCUGGUUCAAUAUUCUCUUUUCAAAGCAUCUAUUUUUUCCCAUUUCAUCAGUAAUCUUUGCACUUUUCUCGCAAAAAAAAAAAUAUAUAUAUAUAUGUACACACAUAAAUAUAUAUCCUUUCCUCUCUCUCUCUCUCUAUACAUAUAUAUCCUUUCCU